GACGAACGCUGGCGGCGUGCUUAACACAUGCAAGUCGAACGGGAUUUAGUAAACGGAAGCCUCGGUGGAAGAUUACUAAUGAGAGUGGCGAACGGGUGAGUAACGCGUAAGCAACCUGCCUAUGACAGUGGGAUAGCCUCGGGAAACCGGGAUUAAUACCGCAUAAAAUCGUAGAAACACAUGUUUCAACGGUCAAAGAUUUAUCGGUCAUAGAUGGGCUCGCGUCUGAUUAGCUAGUUGGUGAGAUAACAGCCCACCAAGGCGACGAUCAGUAGCCGGUCUGAGAGGAUGAACGGCCACAUUGGAACUGAGACACGGUCCAAACUCCUACGGGAGGCAGCAGUGGGGAAUAUUGCACAAUGGGGGAAACCCUGAUGCAGCGACGCCGCGUGAACGAAGAAGGUAUUCGUAUCGUAAAGUUCUGUCCUAUGGGUAGAUAAUGACAGUACCAUAGAAGAAAGCUCCGGCUAAAUACGUG
rnacentral:rRNA from 1 species